rnacentral:tRNA from 1 species
UGCAUCGGCCGGGAAUUGAACCCAGUCCGCCCGCGUGGUAGGCGAGCAUUCUACCACUGAACCACCGAUGC